GACGAACGCUGGCGGCGUGCUUAACACAUGCAAGUCGAGCGGAAAGGCCACUUCGGUGGUACUCGAGCUGCGAACGGGUGAGUAACACGUGAGUAAUCUGACCCUGGCUUUGGGAUAGACACCGGAAACGGUGAUUAAUACCGGAUACGACUACAUCUCGCAUGGGGUGGGGGUGGAAAGUUUUUUCGGCCAGGGAUGUGCUCGCGGCAUAUGAGCUUGAUGGUGGGGUAAUGGCUCACCAUGGCUUCGACGGGUAGCCGGACUGAGAGGGUGGCACGUCACACUAGGACGGGGACACGGCCCAGAUUCCAACGGGAGGCAGCAGUGGGGAAGAUUGGACUGUGGGAAGAAGCCUGAUCCAACAACGCCACGAGACGGAUAACGGCCUUCAGGUUGUAAACCACUUUCAGCAGGGACGAAGCGCAAGUGACGGUACCUGCAGAAGAAGCACCGGCCAACUACGUGCCAGCCGCCGCCGUAA
rnacentral:rRNA from 1 species